GACGAACGCUGGCGGCGUGCCUAAUACAUGCAAGUAGAACGCUGAAGCUUGGUGCUUGCACCGAGCGGAUGAGUUGCGAACGGGUGAGUAACGCGUAGGUAACCUGCCUGGUAGCGGGGGAUAACUAUUGGAAACGAUAGCUAAUACCGCAUAACAGUAGAUAUCGCAUGAUAGCUACUUGAAAGGUGCAAAUGCACCACUACCAGAUGGACCUGCGUUGUAUUAGCUAGUUGGUGAGGUAACGGCUCACCAAGGCAACGAUACAUAGCCGACCUGAGAGGGUGAUCGGCCACACUGGGACUGAGACACGGCCCAGACUCCUACGGGAGGCAGCAGUAGGGAAUCUUCGGCAAUGGACGGAAGUCUGACCGAGCAACGCCGCGUGAGUGAAGAAGGUUGUCGGAUCGUAAAGCUCUGUUGUAAGAGAAGAACGAGUGUGAGAGUGGAAAGUUCACACUGUGACGGUAGCUUACCAGAAAGGGACGGCUAACUACGUG
rnacentral:rRNA from 1 species